UACAGAGGUCUCAAGCGUUGUUCGGAUUCAUUGGGCGUAAAGGGUGCGUAGGCGGCGCGGUAAGUCGGGUGUGAAAUCUCGGAGCUUAACUUCGAAACUGCAUUCGAUACUGCCGUGCUUGAGGACUGGAGAGGAGACUGGAAUUUACGGUGUAGCGGUGAAAUGCGUAGAUAUCGUAAGGAAGACCAGUGGCGAAGGCGGGUCUCUGGACAGUUCCUGACGCUGAGGCACGAAGGCCAGGGGGAGCAAACGGGG
rnacentral:rRNA from 1 species